rnacentral:lncRNA from 1 species
AAGUAAGGAAGAAAUAUUCAUCAACCUAUCAUUCGAACAGCUUACCAUCAGGUGCUUGUAAAUAUAUCGUAGUCGUUUUGAGUUUGCAUUUUGAAGUACCAUUUUUAAGUAACUAUUAACUAUAAACAAUUAAAAACAUCAUUUAUACUGACACAAUUUGUAUAGCACUGCCGAAAUGAAAGACUGAUUCUUCCUUUCAAUAUUCAUUGCAUAAAUGGUCAGAAACCUGUUGUUAUGAUCAUCUGUUA